UUAGGAAUUUUGUGCAAUGGGGGAAACCCUGACACAGCCACGCCGCGUGCGGGAUGAAGGCCUUCGGGUCGUAAACCGCUUUUCUCGAGGAAGACACCCGACGGUACUCGAGGAAUAAGCAACGGCUAACUACGUGCCAGCAGCCGCGGUAAUACGUAGGUUGCGAGCGUUGUCCGGAUUUACUGGGCGUAAAGCGCGCGCAGGCGGAUCCGAAAGUCCACGGUGAAAGCUCCCGGCCCAACUGGGAGAGGCCCGUGGAAACUCCGGAUCUUGAAGGCAGGAGAGGCAAAUGGAAUUUCCGGUGUAGCGGUAAAAUGCGUAGAUACCGGAAGGAACACCAGUGGCGAAGGCGAUUUGCUGGCCUGUUCUUGACGCUCAGGCGCGAAAGCUAGGGGAGCGACC
rnacentral:rRNA from 1 species